rnacentral:tRNA from 1 species
UAGCUCAGCUGGCUAGAGCGUACGGUUCAUACCCGUAAGGUCGGGGGUUCGAUCCCC